rnacentral:tRNA from 1 species
GGGGUGUUAGCUCAGUUGGUUCAGAGCACUACCUCGACAAGGUAGGGGUCAUCGGUUCGAGCCCGAUACGCCCCACAA